UCAUCUAUUUUGCUGUUACUUUUAUAGCUUCAUAAUAUCGCUGUGAUAAGAUUUCAUCAGAAACCAUCAGUUAGGUCUGGAGAUGAGUUCUGUGUAGCAGCUUGGCAAAGAAGGCCUUGGAGGUACUGGUGGACAAGUUGACCAUGAGCCAGCAGAUAAGAAGACCAGGGAGUUGAUCCUUCUACUCUACUCCGUGCUGAUGAGGAGAUGCUUGGAGUGCUGAGUUCAAUUCUGUGUCCCUCGGUACAAGAAAGAUAUGGAAAUACUGGGAUUGCACUUUGGAUACUCUUGGAUAUUUAUGAUUAUCUUACUACUUCUCUUUGAACUCCAGAUGGUGAUCCCAAAUGGACACAAUUACAUACAGCAAAACAAAGUAUAUGUAGCCUUUUGUUUAGCAGCACCUUUUAAAUUAAAUAUAAUCUGUAUCAUACACUGCAAACUGCAAAUAAAUAAAUAAAUUAGGCAUCAUUAUUUGUUUGGGAAGGUCUAAUUUCUUUUCCUUAUUCCUUUCUUGGCACAAUUUUGGAAAAUAUUCUGUCUAGGUUUCUUACUUCUGCUAGUUGAGAGAUAGCUGCAAAGGCUGGUAGAUAGUGGUGGCUAUUUUGAAGCCUGACUGAAGCAGACUAAAGCAGAGGAUUUGGAAGCCAGUAUGGAAGUGGGGUAUAUGAAUUCUCAGCUACAAUAAUGAUGUUGUGAGGCAGAAAGAUAGCUUAGGUGUUCCCAGACAAAUGAGCUUACUGAAAACAUACGACACACAAGACCAGAUAAAAAAUGGGAGAAAACUUAGAAAGAAUUAUUUUAGGAGGAUUGGUGCUUGAGAAGCAACAAAAGAAUAAGAAAUAUGAAUUGAGACUAAAAUGGAUGAAGAACUAAAUAAUGUAUUCAGGGACAGCCUAUUAGUUAAGAUUUCUGA